rnacentral:rRNA from 1 species
ACAGCAGCCGCCGCGGGAAUACGUAGGUGGCAAGCGUUGUCCGGAAUUAUUGGGCGUAAAGGGCUCGCAGGCGGUUUCUUAAGUCUGAUGUGAAAGCCCCCGGCUCAACCGGGGAGGGUCAUUGGAAACUGGGAAACUUGAGUGCAGAAGAGGAGAGUGAAUUCCACGUGUAGCGGUGAAAUGCGUAGAGAUGUGGAGGAACACCAGUGGCGAAGGCGACUCUCUGGUCUGUAACUGACGCUGAGGAGCGAAAGCGUGGGGAGCGAACAGGAUUAGAUACCCCCGUAGUCCCUGUCUCUUAUACA